rnacentral:rRNA from 2 species
GCAUAUCAAUAAGCGGAGGAAAAGAAACCAACAGGGAUUGCCUUAGUAACGGCGAGUGAAGCGGCAACAGCUCAAAUUUGAAAUCUGGCUCUUUCAGAGUCCGAGUUGUAAUUUGCAGAGGGCGCUUUGGCUUUGGCAGCGGUCCAAGUUCCUUGGAACAGGACGUCACAGAGGGUGAGAAUCCCGUACGUGGUCGCUAGCUAUUGCCGUGUAAAGCCCCUUCGACGAGUCGAGUUGUUUGGGAAUGCAGCUCUAAAUGGGAGGUAAAUUUCUUCUAAAGCUAAAUAUUGGCCAGAGACCGAUAGCGCACAAGUAGAGUGAUCGAAAGAUGAAAAGCACUUUGGAAAGAGAGUCAAACAGCACGUGAAAUUGUUGAAAGGGAAGCGCUUGCAGCCAGACUUGCUUGCAGUUGCUCAUCCGGGCUUUUGCCCGGUGCACUCUUCUGCAGGCAGGCCAGCAUCAGUUUGGGCGGUGGGAUAAAGGUCUCUGACACGUUCCUUCCUUCGGGUUGGCCAUAUAGGGGAGACGUCAUACCACCAGCCUGGACUGAGGUCCGCGCAUCUGCUAGGAUGCUGGCGUAAUGGCUGUAAGCGGCCCGUCUUGAAACACGGACCAAGGAGUCUAACAUCUAUGCGAGUGUUUGGGUGUCAAGCCCGAGCGCGUAAUGAAAGUGAACGGAGGUGGGAACCCGCAAGGGCGCACCAUCGACCGAUCCUGAAGUUUACGGAAGGAUUUGAGUAAGAGCAUGGCUGUUGGGACCCGAAAGAUGGUGAACUAUGCUUGAAUAGGGUGAAGCCAGAGGAAACUCUGGUGGAGGCUCGCAGCGGUUCUGACGUGCAAAUCGAUCGUCAAAUUUGGGCAUAGGGGCGAAAGACUAAUCGAACUAUCUAGUAGCUGGUUCCUGCCGA